rnacentral:tRNA from 2 species
GCCAAAGUGGCGGAAUUGGUAGACGCGCUGGACUCAAAAUCCAGUGGGUGUUUAACCCGUGUGGGUUCGAGUCCCACCUUUGGUA